ACGCUCGACACCUACGGGAGGCAGCAGUAGGGAAUCUUCCACAAUGGACGCAAGUCUGAUGGAGCAACGCCGCGUGNGUGAAGAAGGUUUUCGGAUCGUAAAGCUCUGUUGUUGGUGAAGAAGGAUAGAGGUAGUAACUGGCCUUUAUUUGACGGUAAUCAACCAGAAAGUCACGGCUAACUACGUGCCAGAAGCCGCGGUAAUCUGAGCGGGCUGGCAAGGC
rnacentral:rRNA from 1 species